CGCCUCAUCACAUCCUGGGGCUGAAGUAGGUCCCAAGGGUAUGGCUGUUCGCCAUUUAAAGUGGUACGCGAGCUGUGUUUAGAUCGUCGUGAGUCAGGUCGGUCACUAUCUGCCGUGGGCGCUGGAGAAUUGAGGGGGGUUGCUCCGAGUACGAGAGGACCGGAGUGCACGAAUCACUCGUGUUCGGGUUGUCAUGCCAAUGUCCCUGCCCGGUAGCUAAAUGCGGAAGAGAUAAGUGCUGAAAGCAUCUAAGCACGAAACUUGCCCCGAGAUGAGUUCUCCCUGAGACUAUAAGUCUCCUGAA
rnacentral:rRNA from 1 species